rnacentral:lncRNA from 1 species
CACAAGAGGUUUUUGGGUGCCACAAGAGGUUUCUUUGUGGCACAAGAGGUGUUUUGGGUGUCACAAGAGGGUUUUGGGUGCCACAAGAGUAUUUUGGGUGCCACAAGAGGCAUUUUAGGUGCCACAAGAGGCGUUUUGGGUGUCACAAGAGGUUUCUUUGUGGCACAAAAGGUGUUUUGGGUGUCACAAGAGGUCUCUUUGUGGCACAAGAGCUUUCUGGGUAUCACAAGAGGCGUUUUGGGUGCCACAAGAGGCGUUUUGGGUGCCACAAGAGGCGUUUUGGGUGCCACAAGAGGUGUUUUGGGUGUCACAAGAGGUUUCUUUGUGGCACAAGAGCUUUUUGGGUACCACAAGAGGCGUUUUGGGCGCAGAAGCCCCUUUCUCCCGCACAGCUUUAUUUCUCCGCAGCAGAUGUCGUUUGUCCUGCCCCCAUCCUGUCCCUCCGGCCGUCCCGACGUCACCCAGCUGCCAGGCUCAGAUAAGGCCUCCAGGGACCGAUAAGCAGCUCUUCCCCUUCUCCUCCCUCCUCUGGAGCAGCAGGGAAGGAUGAGGCUCCGCUUCCACAACCCCGUUAAACGCACGGGAACGCGGAGCCGCUCCCACCCCCCUGCCAGGCUCCGGGAAAAACAUUCAUCAACGCAAAUCCUUGGUGAAAAAAAAAGUGAAGAAAUCUUUGGUGAAAUAACAACAAAAACAACAAGAAAAAGUUGUUUCCCCUCCUCCUCAGCUGAGGUUCCAGGGUUCAAACUGCGAUUCUGUGAUGUGGCAAAGUCACGGCCUGCAAGGACAGGCGUUCCCAGAGGAUGCAGAGCAGCAGGAAGAGGCGGCAGGAAUCCCGCAGGAGCUCUGGGAACUUCUCCACGCUGAUAAUGAAGUAGAAAGGGAGGGGAAGAGGCAGCUCCUGCCUGGCUCAGGUUCUCCCUGCCCUGAGCUCAGGUGUCGGCAGCUGCCGGCCAUUCCAGCGCCGUAUCCGUGGCAGGAGCUUCGGAGCGGAUCAGGUUCAGGGAUUUUUUGCUGGCUGGGGAUAAAUGAUGAUGUCAAAACAGGAGAGAUGUUGUCACACCAGUGUGUCCCCUGCUGGGGUCAAGGUCUGUCAGUCCGCCGGAAAGCCGAGAACGGGCAAAAAAAACCCAACAAAACUCUUGUGUUUGGGGUCAGAGCUGCAGACAAAAGGCUCUUUGUGCCGAGAGCUGACAAUGACAAAUAAAGAGGAACCUGUUGAUCUAGGAGAGGAGAGGAGGAUUAUGGAAAGAUCACGUGGUGAGGGAGGAAAAGGCCUUGGCUGCUUGUCUGGCCAUCGGAACGUUCCGGAACGUUUGUUCCCAGAGACGCCGGCUCCUGCUCGUGGCCCUCCUUGUCGGCCUGCAGAACGCUCCCGCUGGAGCUGCCCCGGAGCCCACACGCUCUCAGCUGGUUUUCCUCGCUGGAAAUCACCG